GAAAGAUGCCUGAAAAAGGAUUAUUUUGAUGUAAUAAAUUAUGUAAUUAUUUACUCUUUCAAA
rnacentral:tRNA from 1 species